GAGGGGUGGCCGAGUGGUUGAAGGCGCUGGAUUCGAAAUCCAGUUUGGGGGCAACCUCAACGAGGGUUCGAAUCCCUCCUCCUCC
rnacentral:tRNA from 1 species